rnacentral:rRNA from 1 species
AAUAGAUACCCUGGUAGUCCCAGCCGUAAACGAUGCUCGCUAGGUGUCAGGCAUGGCGCAACCGUGUCUGGUGCCGCAGGGAAGCCGUGAAGCGAGCCACCUGGGAAGUACGGCCGCAAGGCUGAAACUUAAAGGAAUUGGCGGGGGAGCACAACAACGGGUGGAGCCUGCGGUUUAAUUGGACUCAACGCCGGACAACUCACCGGGGACGACAGCAAUAUGUAGGCCAGGCUAAAGACCUUGCCUGAAUCGCUGAGAGGAGGUGCAUGGCCGUCGCCAGUUCGUACUGUGAAGCAUCCUGUUAAGUCAGGCAACGAGCGAGACCCGUGCCCACUGUUACCAGCAUGUCCUCCGGGACGAUGGGUACCCUGUGGGGACCGCCGAUGUUAAAUCGGAGGAAGGUGCGGGCUACGGUAGGUCAGUAUGCCCCGAAUUUCCCGGGCUACACGCGGGCUACAAUGAAUGGGACAAUGGGUCCCUACCCCGAGAGGAGUUGGUAAUCUCCCAAACCCAUCCGUAGUUCGGAUCGAGGCUGUAACUCGCCUCGU